AUGGAGAAAGCUAGAAGGGAGAUUUACUUCCAAAGUAUUAAAAAAGAAAAGAUAGAUGAGGUAGGUGAAACAAAAAGAGAAAUGGGAGAAGGCAGUGACACACCAGUAUAUAUAAAUACUGGAGAUGUGAAUGUUGAUGAGUUAUGUUCUGAUUUAGAACACUCUGAUGCUGACAUUGAGGAACAACAGUAUAAAAAUCUUAAAAUAUUCUUUUCUGGGAAAAAAGGAGCUAGAAAGAGCUCACCAGCUUUGAGCUGUGUGAAGCAGUCUGUUGGGAUUGGGGUUCUGAGAAGGAAAAAAGGGAAGAAGACUGAUUAG
rnacentral:rRNA from 1 species